UUGGUUAAGUUAGAAAGGGCGCACGGUGGAUGCCUUGGCACUAGGAGCCGAAGAAGGACGGGACUAACACCGAUAUGCUUUGGGGAGCUGUACGUAAGCGUUGAUCCAGAGAUUUCCGAAUGGGGGAACCCACUAUCUUUAGUCGGAUAGUAUCCUUACGUGAAUACAUAGCGUGAGGAAGGCAGACCCAGGGAACUGAAACAUCUAAGUACCUGGAGGAAGAGAAAGAAAAAUCGAUUUCCUGAGUAGCGGCGAGCGAAACGGAAAGAGCCCAAACCAAGAAGCUUGCUUCUUGGGGUUGUAGGACACUCUAUACGGAGUUACAAAAGAAAGUUAUAAAUGAAGCGGUCUGGAAAGGCCCGCCAAAGACGGUAACAGCCCGGUAGUUGAAAUAGCUUUCCCUCCAGAGUGGAUCCUGAGUACGGCGGAACACGUGAAAUUCCGUCGGAAUCCGGGAGGACCAUCUCCCAAGGCUAAAUACUCCCUAGUGACCGAUAGUGAACCAGUACCGUGAGGGAAAGGUGAAAAGCACCCCGGAAGGGGAGUGAAACAGUUCCUGAAACCGUGUGCCUACAAGUAGUUAGAGCCCGUUAAUGGGUGAUAGCGUGCCUUUUGUAGAAUGAACCGGCGAGUUACGAUUUGUUGCAAGGUUAAGCGGAAAAAGCGGAGCCGUAGCGAAAGCGAGUCUGAAUAGGGCGCAUAAGUAACAGGUCGUAGACCCGAAACCAGGUGAUCUACCCAUGUCCAGGAUGAAGGUAAGGUAAUACUUACUGGAGGUCCGAACCCACGCACGUUGAAAAGUGCGGGGAUGAGGUGUGGGUAGCGGAGAAAUUCCAAUCGAACUUGGAGAUAGCUGGUUCUCUCCGAAAUAGCUUUAGGGCUAGCCUCGAGGUAAAGAGUCAUGGAGGUAGAGCACUGUUUGGACUAGGGGCCCUUCUCGGGUUACCGAAUUCAGAUAAACUCCGAAUGCCAUGUACUUAUACUCGGGAGUCAGACUGCGAGUGAUAAGAUCCGUAGUCGAAAGGGAAACAGCCCAGACCACCAGUUAAGGUCCCCAAAUAUAUGUUAAGUGGAAAAGGAUGUGGGGUUGCUUAGACAACCAGGAUGUUGGCUUAGAAGCAGCCACCAUUGAAAGAGUGCGUAAUAGCUCACUGGUCGAGUGACCCCGCGCCGAAAAUGUACCGGGGCUAAACAUAUUACCGAAACUGUG
rnacentral:rRNA from 1 species